UACGUAGGGGUCGAGCGUUGUCCGGAUUUACUGGGCGUAAAGAGCGCGCAGGCGGUCGUUCAAGUCGAGUGUGAAAGCCCCCGGCUCAACUGGGGAGGGUCAUUCGAUACUGAUCGACUUGAAGGCGGGAGAGGGAAGUGGAAUUCCCGGUGUAGUGGUGAAAUGCGUAGAUAUCGGGAGGAACACCAGUGGCGAAGGCGACUUCCUGGCCUGUUCUUGACGCUGAGGCGCGAAAGCUAGGGGAGCAAACGGG
rnacentral:rRNA from 1 species